UUACAUCUUGUCAUCCUGACUUCAAUCCUUCUUCGCUUUAAGUACUUAAGUUACUUCAUUCCAUCACACACAGCCAGGAAAAUGAGAAUUAUCAUUUUGUUCUGGAUUUGUGCUGCAUUGGUGAUCACAGACAUGACUGAAGCUCACCCAAUGAGUGACAGUCAACGCUGUAUCUGCACAGGACAGAUGAGGUCUCAGAUCAGGCCCAAGAACAUCCUCAUGUACCAGGUGUAUCCAGAGACCCCGGCAUGUGACAGGGUUGAAAUUGUUGUGCUCCUGAAUAAACCAAGACGUACCGUGUGCCUGGACCCGAACUAUCCCAUUGGACAAGCACUUAUUCAAAGGGCAAACUUGUUUUAAAAAUAUAUUUUCAUCAUUUUAUUUUGCCCAUUUUUUUUGCAUAUGUAUUUUCCAAUGCAUAAAGUAUAAUGCUGAUAUUCAAAGGGCAAAGAACUACAAUAAAAUGAUCUAAAAAUAAAUAAAUAAAUAAACUCCUGUGUUCAAUGCAAUUGUAAAGUUCACAGAUGUCAUGCAAUAUGCAGAUUUUAGACAAAGGUGUGAAAUAAGACAUUAGUUGGCAUUUUCCAAUAGAUAAAAUAUUGAUUUGAGCAAAAGAACCUAAUUUCACAAAUAACCUGUUCACUCUGAGAGUCAGAUAUUUUUACCUUCGAAAAACAGAUAAUAAGAUAAGAUGACAGAUAAUAAGAUAACACAAUUGAAAUGUUUCCACGGAAACAACAAACUUGUCUGUUAUCAGCUCAAGCUGAUGUCAAGGUGAUAUUUUUGUUUACAUACUCUGAAUACCUAGUCCUUAUUUUAAAAGGAAUAUGAAAGCACUGGUGAUUUGAGUUCCUGUAAGCGUGCUUGUCUUCUUAUAAAUCUGUCUGGUUAUUAACAUUAAAGGGGGUUGUCCAAUGGCCACCGGGGAACUGCAGCACACCUUUAGCAUGGAAAGCUCAUCAAACACAGUACCCCUCCUAAUGGGGAAGAUUCCUUGCUGUGGAAAAUUACGGAAAACUGACCUUCAGAAGAGGAAAGAGACAAGACAAGUUUUCUUUAUCUAAUUUUCAGUUGUGCGAGAAGAAUACUGUAAUUUUCUUAUCAAACACACAAUUGCUCAUCUUGCAAAAACCAAGCAGAUGAAAACCUGUGUCUGUUAGUCGGUUAUUGUUUUUGUAACAGGCAAGAGCGCCUUGAGAUAUUAAGAAUAUACUCUGUAUAGUAGGAAUGUAGCCCUUAGUUAGUGCAUUUGUAAGCCAUUACAGUGAGAACAGUCUUUUAGUGUAAUGUAACUUCAUCUCCUACAACCUGUCGGACAGAUCCCAGCAUCACUUUUAGCAGUGUGGACUGUGUAACUUUGCCCUACUGGAAUUAAAUCUGCCAUACAUUA